GACGAACGCUGGCGGCGUGCCUAAUACAUGCAAGUAGAACGCACAGUUUAUACCGUAGCUUGCUACACCAUAGACUGUGAGUUGCGAACGGGUGAGUAACACGUAGGUAACCUGCCUGGUAGCGGGGGAUAACUAUUGGAAACGAUAGCUAAUACCGCAUAAUAUUAAUUAUUGCAUGAUAAUUAAUUGAAAGGUGCAAUUGCACCACUACCAGAUGGACCUGCGUUGUAUUAGCUAGUAGGUGAGGUAACGGCUCACCUAGGCGACUAUACAUAGCCGACCUUAGGGGGGUGUCGGCCACACUGGGACUGAGAACCGGCCCAGGCUCCUUCGGGAGGGAGCAGUAGGGAAUCUUCGGCAAUGGACGAAAGUCUGACCGAGCAACGCCGCGUGAGUGAAGAAGGUUUUCGGAUCGUAAAGCUCUGUUGUAAGAGAAGAACGGGUGUGAGAGUGGAAAGUUCACACUGUGACGGUAUCUUACCAGAAAGGGACGGCUAACUACGUG
rnacentral:rRNA from 1 species